rnacentral:rRNA from 1 species
CCUACGGGUGGCAGCAGUGGGGAAUAUUGGACAAUGGGGGAAACCCUGAUCCAGCGACGCCGCGUGAGUGAAGAAGUAUUUCGGUACGUAAAGCUCUAUCAGCAGGAAAGAAAAUGACGGUACCUGACUAAGAAGCCCCGGCUAACUACUGGCCAGCAGCCGCGGUAAUACGUAGGGGGCCAGCGUUAUCCGGAUUUACUGGGUGUAAAGGGAGCGUAGACGGCAGCGCAAGUCUGGAGUGAAAUGCCGGGGCCCAACCCCGGAACUGCUUUUGAAACUGCCGGGCUGGAGUGCAGGAGAGGUAAGCGGAAUUCCUAGUGGAGCGGGGAAAUGCGUAGAUAUUAGGAGGAACACCAGUGGCGAAGGCGGCUUACUGGACUGUAACUGACGUUGAGGCUCGAAAGCGUGGGGAGCAAACAGGAUUAGAUACCCCGGUAGUC